rnacentral:rRNA from 1 species
GAUGAACGCUGGCGGCGUGCCUAAUACAUGCAAGUCGAGCGAACAGAUGAGGAGCUUGCUCCUCUGACGUUAGCGGCGGACGGGUGAGUAACACGUGGAUAACCUACCUAUAAGACUGGGAUAACUUCGGGAAACUGGAGCUAAUACCGGAUAAUAUAUUGAACCGCAUGGUUCAAUAGUGAAAGACGGUUUUGCUGUCACUUAUAGAUGGAUCCGCGCCGCAUUAGCUAGUUGGUAAGGUAACGGCUUACCAAGGCAACGAUGCGUAGCCGACCUGAGAGGGUGAUCGGCCACACUGGAACUGAGACACGGUCCAGACUCCUACGGGAGGCAGCAGUAGGGAAUCUUCCGCAAAGGGCGAAAGCCUGACGGAGCAACGCCGCGUGAGUGAUGAAGGUCUUCGGAUCGUAAAACUCUGUUAUUAGGGAAGAACAAAUGUGUAAGUAACUAUGCACGUCUUGACGGUACCUAAUCAGAAAGCCACGGCUAACUACGUG